rnacentral:rRNA from 1 species
UACGGGGGGAGCAAACGUUGUUCGGAAUCACUGGGCGUAAAGGGCGUGUAGGCGGUUCGGUAAGUGGAAUGUGAAAUCCCCCGGCUUACCCGGGGAACUGCAUCCCAUACUGCUGGACUUGAGUGCGGGAGAGGAUGGAGGAAUUCCUGGUGUAGCGGUGAAAUGCGUAGAUAUCAGGAGGAACACCGGUGGCGAAGGCGACAUCCUGGACCGGCAUUGACGCUGAGGCGCGAAAGCCAGGGGAGCAAACGGG